rnacentral:sRNA from 1 species
AUCUAGCCCCGAUAGAAGAGAAAACCUUUUGUGCCGGGGUUCGGCGCAAAAGUUUGAAACGGAUAGCGGGACAAUUG